AAGAUUUUUCAGUCGCGUGAGCUAGCAACGGUUAAUAUAAAGCAGAGCACUCUUCUGUGAAGCACCUGCAACAUCUCCCCUGCAGCCACAGUGAUGUAAAAACAGACAGUCAGGGAGUUUGGAGCAGAGCCCAGCUGUACUGAGGGACCUGCUGAACCUGAUACCUGUGUGGAGGAGCUCCAGCAUCUUAGCCCUCCAGGUUCCCAGGAGAGAGCCGGGCAGAAAAGUUUGACCUCCAUCAUUUAUCAUUCGCCACCACACCAUCGACAAGCUUCCCAUUACAAUCUUACUGAAUCCAAAAACUUGUUCCAUUAUCAUCCACUCUGCAAACUCUCCCCCACCCUCAAGAGAAUGCUGGUUGGUGCACUGAGCAGGAAGUGAAAGCUCCCGCCACCCACAAACCCACCCCUCUACCUUGACUCCCCCCACUCCUCACCCUGCUCUCCCAGGCUGCAGCAUGGCUGGGUGUCCUGGCUCCUGUCCAGGUUUUGGUGCUGUGAUGGGGAGGGUCACGGUUUGCGUCUGACCCCGGGAGUGCAUGUUGGAUGUUGUUAUUAUUAGCGCUCCGUGCCCCCCGGGCAGGCAGGCAGUCCCCAAAGCAGGAGGAACUUGUGGGCUCUGGAGAGGCUCUAGACCUGGAGAACAGCUGUGUGGGUUAGAGGCUGCUGGGGCCCCGUCGUCCCCUGAGAGCACCGCUGCACCGGCCCUCUAGGAGGUACCACAGAUUUUUUUUUUUUUAAAUACGGACGCACUGCACCGAUUUGCAAUAGACUUCUGCACCACACAACAAAGGCAUGUUACUGGGUACUUUUGGCUCACAGUAUUUUACAUCAAUAUUUCGAUUUAUUGCAGUCAAACCCUAAUUUUGAAAAUGCCUUCAAAUUGGCCUACAGAGCUAGUUUAUCAACCCUGUACCAUAAAUUGGCACUGACCUGAGUAAUUUUUUCCAAAAAAGUUUCCUAAACAGCAGUAAUACUGCUAUUACCUGCAUUUUUGGCUGUCUUAAGC